AAUCUCUGGCAGACCUCGUGAUUACGGCUGAUUAUGGAGGAGUCUCCCGAGGGUGCGCUGAUCUUCCGUGCGUCUUUUACUUGAAGAAGACAUAACAACGCCAAAUGUCAGGCAUGCAGCAGCAGUGCAGUUACGUGAUGCGCGAUACUGGAAUUGCCCUGGAUGAGAAGUAAAAGCAGGAAACUGAUUACUUCAGACUGAGUUUCCUCUGUACAAGUGGGAAUGUCGUUCAUCACCCGAGACUGAACACCAGGAAUGUGUUUUAGCAAUGACAGCCUUUGGAAGGCUCAUGUGCAAAUGACAGCAUGAAUUCAGAAAGGUCCGGGAUAUAUGAUGAAUUUAUUACCUCCUGUUUUACUUAUGCCUUUUUCCUCAUCAUUAAGCCCUGUUACAGGCUGUUUCCAAAGUGGAGCCAAUGCCGACCCAGCACUGUGGCCGCGCAAAGCCUCCCAGGCCCAGGGGGCUGGAGCCAGCCCUGCAAGGAUGCCCCAGAGAUGCUCUCCUUCCCACCAGCUCCUCAGCCUACAGCGAGGGCUCAGCCAGGUUCAAUGAGCUCUAUCUACACACAGCAGAAUUUGGAACAAAGUGGACUUAAUCCAACAGACUUUUUUCUCUAUUUCUCAACUCAUAUGACUGCUUCAGAGCAGGUCAGCCAGCUGCAGGAAGGAAAGAAAGCGGAGCGUCAUGUUUAUCGCUGCUGCUUGGUAAUGGUUUACAAUUCAGGUGGAUGUGUACAGUGCCUGAGCCUUUGA
ensembl:lncRNA